GAACUUAAUAAAUAUAAUAGCAAGGGAAGCUUUUGGCGAAGGUAUAAAAGCUUGGACAACUGUUUGUUGGCAUUCAGUGAAUUAUUCACGCCGGUAGUUUUCCAUUGUGAUUCAGGAUAUCUUUGUAAUUUGAUACUAGUUCAUUAAAAAACCAUAAUGUCGGUUCCUGAUGUGGUUCUAAAUAAUGGAGUAAAGAUUCCCAUCAUUGGUCUAGGGACAUGGGGUAGUCCUAAGGGAGAAGUUGAGCAGGCCGUUAAAGAUGCUAUUGAUGUUGGUUAUCGUCACAUUGAUUGUGCACAUGUGUAUCAAAAUGAGGAUGAAGUCGGAGCCGGAAUUGAAGCUAAAAUAGCUGAAGGCGUUGUGAAGCGUGAGGAAUUGUUUAUUACUAGUAAAUUAUGGAAUACCUUCCAUAGUCCUGAAUUAGUACGAGGAGCCUUAGAAACUACUUUAAAGAAUUUGCGCUUAGAUUACCUUGACUUGUACUUGAUUCAUUGGCCAAUGGGCUUUAAAGAGGGCGGAGAGUUAUUUCCAAAUGAUGACCUUGGCAAAAUGCAAUAUUCGGAUGUCGAUUAUGUAGACACAUGGAAGGGAAUGGAAAAACUUGUAGAAGCUGGUCUUGUUAAGUCCAUUGGUGUAUCUAAUUUCAACAAACAUCAAAUUGAACGUGUGCUCGAGGUUGCAACUAUUGUUCCCGUUACAAAUCAAAUCGAAUGCCACCCUUAUUUAACUCAAGAAAAGCUGAUUGAAUUUUGUAAAUCAAAAAACAUUACUAUAACUGCAUACAGUCCUCUGGGUUCACCUAAUAGGCCAUGGGCGAAAUCAGGAGAUCCCGUUUUGUUAGAGGACGCUAAAAUUGUGGAUAUCGCUAAAAAGUAUGACAAAACUCCGGCGCAAAUUCUCAUUCGCUACCAAUUGCAACGUGGAAACAUUGUAAUCCCAAAGUCUGUAACUAAAAGUCGUAUUGCAUCUAACUUCGAUGUGUUCAAUUUCGAAUUAAGCUUAGAAGAUAUUGCAACAAUUAAUAGCUUUAAUUGUAACGGACGUUUCGUACCUCUGGACAACGAUGCUGACCAUGAGCACUACCCGUUUAAUGAUGAAUUUUAGUUUCGUAAAGUUGAAAACAAGUGAAAAUGUAGUAAUUUGUUCAAAAUAUAAGUCAGCUAUUGGUCUUAUGUCUUCAUUGUUAUGAUGGGUUAUUUCACUUUAAAUGCGUUUUGACUCCUAAAAAUAUUCAAUAUCUUAGCACCAUCGAUCUCAUCCGCACCAUCCAUUUAUUGAUGAGUUCUAGUGUGUGAAACUUAGUCCAGUUAAAAUUGGGGUUACUUUACUGUAAUUAUUCACACAUAUAUAAAUACAUAUGUAUAUACAAAUGGAUUUAAUGACACGUUAUAUUAAAUAAACACAUAUAUUUUCGUUA